CAUAACUGAAAAAUCGUAAUUUUUGAGUUAUUUGCAAAUAAUAAUAACACUGGUAUUUUUUCUAUACUGAUUGAACGACAAAGAACAUCCAUUAUGCCAUUUGAAGUAACUAACGAUUUAAAUAUCUUGGCCGAAAAUAUGAGAAUUAUCAAUAGGACUUCACCUUAUAAUGCUAAUGACUUCAGUGAAGUUAUAAGAAUUAUCCAUGCGUUUCCAUAUAAUAGUGAUGACAAUUCUCGAGUUUUGAUUAAUACCUUGGCCGAAGCUAUGAGAAAUAUCAAUAGGGCUUCAUAAAAUACUGAUGACAAUACCGGCUCCUCAAGAAACAAUGAUGACAUUUUCAUCUCGCCCUUGAAGACUUUUAUUCAAGAUAUUUAAAUGCUCAAAUAAGUCAGAAAGAAAAGCUAAUUUCAAAAGGAAUGCCGGGUCGCAAAUGAAUUCAGAGUAUUCUGACUUAGCCUGCUGUAAAUAUAUUAAAAGUUCAGCACGAAGUUCCAUAACUCUGGUGAAGAUUAGAAAAUACAAUCCAAAUGGAAAAUUCUAAUAAAAUGUAAUAAUUAUUCUAAAAAAUCAUUAUUUUGUAAUACUUAUUUGAAAAUAAAAUUAUUUUCAACCUCUUUAAAAUUUUUCUAAAAUAAUUAUUUAUUAAAAAUAUUGUAAAAUUAUUUAUUUAAUGAAAAUGUAAGACUAAAAAUGUU